AACAAGGAUUCCCUCAGUAACGGCGAGUGAACAGGGAACAAGCUCAAAGUUGGAAUCUAUCUGGCUUAGCCAGAUCGAAUCUGUAAACUCUUAGAGUCGUUGUCCAGACCAGCCGAGUAAAUAAGUUCCUUGGAAUAGGACAUCAUGGAGGGUGAGAAUCCCGUCUUUGGCUUGAGCAUUGGUCUUUUGUGAUGCGACUUCAACGAGUCAGGUUGUUUGGGAAUGCAGCCUUAAUUGGGUGGUAAAUCUCACCUAAAGCUAAAUAUUGGCGAGAGACCGAUAGCGAACAAGUACCGUGAGGGAAAGAUGAAAAGAACUUUGAAAAGAGAGUUAAACAGUAUGUGAAAUUGCUAAAAGGGAACCGUUUGAAGUCAGUCUGGCUGGUCUGCAAUCAGCUUCAACUUUGGUUGGAGUGCACUUGUAGGCCAUUUUGCCUGCCAACAACAGUUUGUUCUGCAGCAAAAAGGUGUUGAGAAUGUAGCUUUCUCUUUGGAGGAAGUGUUAUAGCUCUUCGCGAAAUACUGUGGUUCAGACUGAGGCUUGCAGUGAAUGCUAUUUUGGCUUUGGGGAUGGAUUGCUCAGUGCUUUGCUUGGUUAGUUUUCGGCCGUCAAACGUCGUGCUGGCUAAAUAAAGUCUGACUCGGUUCAUUCACUUUUAAUUCACUUUGGUUGUUGGCUUAAUG
rnacentral:rRNA from 1 species